rnacentral:lncRNA from 1 species
UUUAGUGUUACCAGUGAGAAAGUAGAUUAUAACAGCAUGGAAGGUAGGCAGCUAUUGUGCUGCUUUAAGGCACAUUUUAAAACAUAGAGGCUAUGUGUGUGUGUUUCAUAUUGGAGCAUAAAUGGCCAAGGGCAGGAAGUAACGCCACAAAUGGGAUUGUUUAAAAUAUUUUUUACUACAAUGGGACCUUCAUUUUGUGGAUGUCUGCGUCGGGGUUUCUCUUGCUGUGAUGAAACACCAUGAUCAAAAGCAUUGUAAUUCACCAUAGAAGGAACUCAAGCAAGAUUGGAACCUGGAGAAAUGGGUGCUGCUUGGUGGCUUUUUCUUCAUAGCUUACACAGUCUGCUUUCUUACAGAGUCCAGGGCCACAAGCACAGGAAUGACCUUACCCACAGUGGGCUGGGCCCUUCCACAUCAAUCACUAAUUAAGAGAGUACUCUGCAAGUCAGCUACAACCCAAUCAUAAUGGAGGCAUUUCUCAAUUGAGGUCAAUGUGAAAUGUCACCUUCAAGCCAGAAUUUUCUAUCUGGAGGUCUUCCCCUUGGUUAACUAUGCUGGGCACAGAUGGACAGACAGAAUACAUGUGGCUUAGUCUAUCAAGAACAAACCAAUGAUCGCUUCCCAUGUUCCUUAGUAAGAACAGAAAUGGAGAUCCCUUUAGAAAACCAGCGGAUAAAUUUCUCCAUUAAUUCAUCUAGCCAUAUAUCCAUAUCAAACUACAACAUAAUUCUCCAACUACAAAAAAAAAAAAAAAACUACAACAACAACAAAAAUACUGUGAGGACCCUCAUGAAACUUACGGAACUUAGUUCUCUCUCACACACCUUGAAUCCAUAGUUUCAAUCAUGACAGUUAAUCUUAAUUGUCAACUUGAUGGAAAGAACCUGGAUAUCUCUCAAGAGAGAAAUGGAUACAGAAAAUGUGGUGCAUUCACACAAUGGAGUACUACUCCGCUAUUAAAAAUUCAUAAAAUUCUUAGGCAAAUGGAUGGAACUAGAAAAUAGCAUCCUGAGUGAGGUAAUCCAAUCACAAAAAAAAAAACAAACAAACAAACAAAAAAAAACCACACAUGGUAUGCACCCACUGAUAAGUGGAUAUUAACCCAAAAGCUCUGAAUAACCAAGAUACAAUUCACAGACCACAUGAAGCUCAAGAAGAAGGAAGACCAAAGUGUGGAUGCUUUGGUCCUUCUUGGAAGGGGGAACAAAAUACUCAUGGAAGCAAAUAUGGAGGCAAAGUGUAGAGCACACACUGAAGGAAAGGCCAUCCAGAGACUGUCCCACCUGGGGAUUCAUCCAAUAUACAGUCGCCAAACUCCAACAUUAUUGUGAACACUAAGAAGUGCUUGCUGAAAGGAGCCUGAUAUAGCUGUCUCCUGAGAGGCCCUGCCAGAGCCUUACAGAGUCAGAUGCUUGCAGCCAACCAUUGGACUGAGCACAGAAUCCCCAGUGGAGGAGUUAGAGAAAGGAUUGAAGAAGCUGAAGGGGUUUGCAAACCCAUAGGAAGAACAACAAUAACAACCAACCAGACCCCCCCCCCCAGCUCACAGGGACUAAGCCACAAACCAAGGAGUACAAAUGGCUCCAGCUGCAUAUGUAGCAGAUGGCC